rnacentral:rRNA from 1 species
GACGAACGCUGGCGGCGUGCUUAACACAUGCGAGUCGAACGGAAAGGCCCUGCUUUUGUGGGGUGCUCGAGUGGCGAACGGGUGAGUAACACGUGAGUAACCUGCCCUUGACUUUGGGAUAACUUCAGGAAACUGGGGCUAAUACCGGAUAGGAGCUCCUGCUGCAUGGUGGGGGUUGGAAAGUUUCGGCGGUUGGGGAUGGACUCGCGGCUUAUCAGCUUGUUGGUGGGGUAGUGGCUUACCAAGGCUUUGACGGGUAGCCGGCCUGAGAGGGUGACCGGCCACAUUGGGACUGAGAUACGGCCCAGACUCCUACGGGAGGCAGCAGUGGGGAAUAUUGCACAAUGGGCGGAAGCCUGAUGCAGCAAUGCCGCGUGCGGGAUGACGGCCUUCGGGUUGUAAACCGCUUUCGCCUGUGACGAAGCGUGAGUGACGGUAAUGGGUAAAGAAGCACCGGCUAACUACGUG